UGGCUGAGGAACACAACACUAUCAGGUCUGGUAAAGAUUUGGAUCAUUCAGAGAAAUCAUUAAGUAUAAGUAGUACAGGUAAUCCUCAAAUAACCACCACAACUGAGACUGGAAAUCUGGUCAUAAAUUGAGGCACCUAUGUGACCAGACCUCCUGUUGUUUUUUUUAACAUUCUGUGGAGUGGUUUUUAAGCGAAUGGCACGGUCAUUAAGAAGGGCCGUAAUAGCUCAGGCUGUUAGAAGCCUGUUAUUAGAACACAGCACCCUGCAAUUACUGCAGGUUCAAGCCCGGCCCGAGGUUGACUCAACCUUCCAUCCUUUAUAAGGUAGGUAAAAUGAGGACCCAGAUUGUUGGGGGGGCAAUAAGUUGACUUUGUAAAUAUACAAAUAGAAUGAGACUAUUGCCUUACACACUGUAAGCCGCCCUGAGUCUUCGGAGAAGGGCGGGAUAUAAAUGUAAAUAAAAAAUAAAUAAAUAAAUAAAAGUGAAUCCAUUCUUCUGAAGGGGCUUUUUUGUCAGAAACUGGCAAAAAUGACAAAAGCCAACCAAACCAAUUGCAAAUUGUGGUUAUCUAAAAAGUAGACAUAUGACUGCAGGGAUGGGGUGGGGAGUUAGACAUUUUACGAUGGAUGAAAGUGCAUUAUAGACCAUAAAGCACCCAUUCCAAGACAGUGAAAUCUCUGAACGGUCCUAAAUUGACCAGUCAUAAAUUGAGGACUACCUAUAUUAACCUUAAUUAGUUUCCUAUGGCUUUGUGAGCUGUGUGAAUCCUGCCUUUUUAAUUGUUUUAUGAUUCGGUUUAUUAUAGGUAUCCAGAAAAAAACGUUUAAUUCUGAACUCAGGUGAACAUAGCUGAUUUCUAAUAAUUAAUCUUGCAUUAAGUCAUUAAUGGUCUUUAAAGUCAACUGAAGAUGUUCAAUCACUUGUCCUUCCACAAAAUUAUACCAUCUCCACUGUGAUAUAAUUUGCAGCGUUAACCGCUGAAAUGUCUCCUUUCCGUGCACGACCCUAGCCGGGGGUGGGAUUCAGCUGAUUCAGACAGGUUCGGGAGAACCGGUUGCUAAUUUUACAUCUGGUUCGCCGAACCGGUAGUUGCAAGGGCUAGCUGACCCCACCCACCUCCACCCGUCCCAGGAGUCUCCAUGUGGCCCUUUUUGGAUGCCAGGUAAGUGCAGUGCCCACAUGGAGGCUAUGGGAGGGCGAAAAAUGGGCCUCCCGGAAGUUCCGGAAGUCAUGAAACAGGCCUGUUCCUGGCCUUCGAAGGUUUUCUGGAGCCUGAGGUAGGCUGUUUUCACCCUCCUGGAAGUUCAAGGAAAGCCUCCAGAGCCUGGGGAGGGCAAAAAACGGGCCUACUGGAAGUCCGGAAACAGGCCUGUUUCCGGCCUCCAGAGGGUCUCCGGAGCCUGGGGAAGGCUCAAGGAAAGCCUCCGGAGCCUGGAGAUGGUGAAAAUGCACCCCCCAUUGGUGCAGGAGGUUGAGUAGGCCACGCCCUCAUGGUCACGCCCACCCAGCAACUGGGCAGCGAACCAGUUGCUAAAAUUUUUCAGUCACACCCCUGGCUGUAGCAUCCAUACCAGCUAACUUUCCAUAUGAAAGGUGGUUUCCCAGUGAUCCAGCUAUAACAAAUCUCUUGCAGCACCAAGUUUAAACAUUUUCUCAAGAAACGAGGCUGUAAGGUGCCCCUUUGCCAACUUCUGAGACCCCAAUAAUUCUUGAUUUUCAGUACAACCACUUAACCAAGGCCACACAAAGUCUUAGCGAGUAUUUUUGGGAGGCAAGAUCCCACACUGCAUCUUGAUUUACACCCCGUUUUAAUUGAAGUUGUGUCUUUCAAGGGAGUCCUUUAGCGUACAUUUUUCUCUGCCUUGAUGCCAAAAUCAAUGGAAGCCUUUGAAAAAAACGAAACAAAAAAACGGAAUUUAAAGCGGUAGUCUUCAGUGACAGGCAGACAUUCAUUAAACUCAAAAGGACUUUUGUACAGUUUGGGUAAAAAGAGUGGAUUUGCCGAAGGUUUAGUUGGCAGCAUUUCGGAAGCACUUAAGAUAGAGAACCGCUGCAAGAAUAAUUGCCUUCAAAUGUGUCUCUUGACAUUGCGGUUGCGUUUAAACGUUCGCUUUUGGAACUCUUCCCUCCUUUCUUUUCAGAAAUGGUGGCGGAAGAGGUCAAACGGAAGUCUGAAGUCUAGUGGAGGACUGAUAUUAUAAAAUGAAGUAGAGUCAGAUCCUUUCCCUCCCCUCGACACCCCCCUCCAAUAUUUGAACUGAAAAAGAAAUGAUUUGAUCUAAUCUUCAUAUCCCUCCAUUGUCUUCACUGCAGAUCUAUCUGAUCUACACCUGCUAGACGGAAGUAAAGCUUUUCUCAAAUCCCUUUUAGCUCAGAUAAUCUAUUGUCUUUUUUUAAAGUUGGCGUUUAAAUUCACGAGCUGUGUAGCUGUUAGACCGAACAAUUAAAAUCUCAGGUUUUAAACCUUGUUUCUGGCAAGGAGAAAGGAGAAACUAAUUUAGUCUGCAUUUGAAUAUGAACUUUCCUAAGUCUUUAAUUGGAAGUUAGGAAAGAACUGAAACUUGGCUAACAUUCUGAAUGGGCACCUUUCCAAUGUUUGCAAUGCAACAAUUU